rnacentral:rRNA from 1 species
UACGUAGGGUGCAAGCGUUGUCCGGAAUUAUUGGGCGUAAAGAGCUCGUAGGCGGUUUGUUGCGUCGGCUGUGAAAUCCCGAGGCUCAACCUCGGGUCUGCAGUCGAUACGAGCAAACUAGAGUGUUGCAGGGGAGACUGGAAUUCCUGGUGUAGCGGUGAAAUGCGCAGAUAUCAGGAGGAACACCGGUGGCGAAGGCGGGUCUCUGGGCAGUUGCUGACACUGAGGCGCGACAGCGUGGGGAGCAAACAGG